UUUAAUAUUUUUAUGUAAUAAAAAGUAAAAGUCCUUGUCCAGCCAUCCUCGUGGGGCAUCUGUCUGUCUCUCACACAGGUCACUCAAGUUAAUGGGAAAGAAAGAACAGGGGGCCCAAGUCUGAAGUUAUAAAUAAUAGAAAAUAAAAGAUCUUCCGUCUCCAGCGGGGGAAUAGAUGAGAGGAUGGGAGGGCAAGACUGGGUGGGGACGGGCAGGGGCAGAGCAGGAACCCCCCACCCCUGCUGGACCCUGGCCCUGCCCUCUGUGAGGCAGAGGGAUAUACUUCCCCUCCCUG
ensembl:lncRNA novel transcript, antisense to ATXN2L